UACGUAGGGCGCAAGCGUUGUCCGGAAUUAUUGGGCGUAAAGAGCUCGUAGGCGGCUUGUCACGUCGGAUGUGAAAGCCCGGGGCUUAACCCCGGGUCGGCAUUCGAUACGGGCAGGCUAGAGUGUGGUAGGGGAGAUCGGAAUUCCUGGUGUAGCGGUGAAAUGCGCAGAUAUCAGGAGGAACACCGGUGGCGAAGGCGGAUCUCUGGGCCAUUACUGACGCUGAGGAGCGAAAGCGUGGGGAGCGAACAGG
rnacentral:rRNA from 1 species